rnacentral:tRNA from 1 species
ACCUGGGUGGCUCAGUCGGUUGAGCGUCUGACUUCGGCUCAGGUCAUGAUCUCGUGGUCUGUGAGUUUGAGCCCCACGUCAGGCU